rnacentral:rRNA from 1 species
CGAACGCUGGCGGCGUGCUUAACACAUGCAAGUCGAACGGAAAGGCCCUGCUUUUGUGGGGUGCUCGAGUGGCGAACGGGUGAGUAACACGUGAGUAACCUGCCCUUGACUUUGGGAUAACUUCAGGAAACUGGGGCUAAUACCGGAUAGGAGCUCCUGCUGCAUGGUGGGGGUUGGAAAGUUUCGGCGGUUGGGGAUGGACUCGCGGCUUAUCAGCUUGUUGGUGGGGUAGUGGCUUACCAAGGCUUUGACGGGUAGCCGGCCUGAGAGGGUGACCGGCCACAUUGGGACUGAGAUACGGCCCAGACUCCUACGGGAGGCAGCAGUGGGGAAUAUUGCACAAUGGGCGGAAGCCUGAUGCAGCAACGCCGCGUGCGGGGUGACGGCCUUCGGGUUGUAAACCGCUUUCGCCUGUGACGAAGCGUGAGUGACGGUAAUGGGUAAAGAAGCACCGGCUAACUACGUG